rnacentral:misc_RNA from 1 species
GUGAGUCAUCGAAUCUUUGAACGCACAUUGCGCCCGCCAGUAUUCUGGCGGGCAUGCCUGUUCGAGCGUCAUUUCAACCACUCAGGCCCUGGUGCCUGGCGUCGGGGUUUCUUAUAGAUCCCCUAGAAUCAGUGGCGGACCCGCCGCGGCUCCGAGCGUAGUAGUAAAAUAUCUCGCUAUGGAGGUCCGUGGGGGGAUUACCGGCCGUAAAACCUCUUCUUUACUGAAGAACUUCUCAAGGUUGACCUCGGAUCAGGUAGGAAUACCCGCUGAACUUAAGCAUAUCAAUAAGCGGAGGA